CUCUUCCGUCCUAGGUGCAACGAAUAGGCAGAAAAUAAUCUACUUCGUAUCACGCGUCGUGGACACACCAGUAAGUCUUUAAUGCGGAAAGACGUCUGCCCUGAGCACGAGUCCGCUCAGAGGGAAGGUGAGCCAGGACUGGCAUCCGAGCGUGCGGGCUCUCCCGGUGAUGAUACCAGCAUGGAUAGUUCCAAACAAAACAAACAAAUACACCAAAAGAUACAGCAUUUGUGAAUUUUACGUCACUAAGGCAAACAAAAAUGGGCCAAAAGAGACUUGAACUUCUCCCCCCAGGAAAAAAGAAAAGCAUUUAUAUGACAUCUCCUUAGAGAGGCAUCACUCUGCUUUCCCGUCAACAGACAGAAAUAGCACACCCCACGGUGCACGAAGUCCACACGAGCCAUUCAAAUCCACAUUAAGAAACCGGUGUCUGCCUCGGACAUCUGACAGCGCGCGGCACCAACCUGAACCGCGUCCCUUGGCCAAGCGUGCAACCUCAGCACUCCGAUCAGAGACUCGAUGCGGGGAAACAGGUAGCACGACAAAUGGGUACAAAAUCCUGCCUACACCAUGGAUUCCAGGGCCAGAAAGAAGCCAAUGGAAGAUAUUGUGAAUUCCUAUCUAUCGAGUAUUCAUCAACUUUGCCCGUUGAAAAGAAAAAUCAGUCCGAGAGCUGUAAUUGUAUUAUGUUUAAUAUUCAUGGUUGGGUUUGGAGGGCUGUUCCAACACUCCCUCUCUCCAGCCCCUCUCUAAUGAAAAUCACACCACAGGAGUCGGCUCUAGCCCGCCAAUUAAAAUAAAAGACACCAGAACCUUCCAAAGCGUCCAGCAGAGGAGCAUCCAUCUGAUGGGCAGGAAAACGUGCUGGAACUGAGAGGGAGGCACGCUCUGGUUGGUCCUGUGCUAAGAGCUUUGAAUAACUUAUUAUAACACUUGCAGAUGGAGCAAACACAACAUUUACGCCCCACUCACACUCUCUGACAGCAGGCAGCAGCGCACCACAACCUCAUAUCUGUCGGGGCCAGAAGUAAGUGCCGAGACUCUAUAACUGGGGGUCAUCACUCAGGGCCUACCUCCCAUUGGUUUGGAUUCAAAAGUCCUGAAUGGUAAUAAGGCAAACUGUAUUUGAUGGCAAAGACGAAGCCUAUUCAGACUCUGGCUCAGCAGUUUCAUUUAGAAGGACCUGACCUAAAGCUGUAUUUCUAUCCAGGAAAUAGAGGGAACAAAUAAGAAAACAUGAAACUUUUUUUUUAAAGACCAAAUUAAUCAAGAAAGUUUUGUGUUGUUUUUUUUUUUAAACAAAUCAAUACAUGAUUCUGUUUUGUCUUGCUGAACCUGGGCUCUUAUAUUAGAGAAUCUUAAAUAUAA